GGGAUUCUGGCGGUCCUCACUGGGGUGACUGACACCAAUCAGGUCACAGCUGAAGAAGGUGCCCAUGUGGGUGGGAGGGCUGGGCCCAGCCGGGCGCCAUCUCCGGUGGGAGCUGCCUUCCCCAGUGCUGCCCAGGCCCCUGUUGUUCCUGGGCCACCCUGGCUGUCCCCGUGGGUGGGGGGGCCUGCUGAGUGCCUCCUUCCUAUUGCUCUUGAAUCGAGCCCCUCCCUCUUUUACCUCCUUCCUGUUUCUAGGAGAGUAGAAGGUUGCUCUCUGCCCUUUGGGCUGGGUCUCAGGUGGCUCCCAGGAGCCCUGCAGGCAAGGUGGAGGGUGCUGGGUGGGCACUGCUGUCCUGGGGCCUUUCUGGCCAGUGCUGCAGUAGGGACAUGUGAUCUCUUUGGUGUGUGAGGAAGAUGCAGGUGACGGCAGCCUGUGUUCCAGGGCCGUCCACUGUGUGGGGUUCAGCGGUCCCUUCUGAAUGGCAGCCUCCUGUUGUCCUUUGCUGUCCCUGGUGGCCUGGGAGACUGACUCCUCAUCUCAGGUCAAGCAUGUGUGAGACUUGCAGUGUCCCUGCUCAUCCUCUCUGUGCCUCAAGCUGCCUGAGAGGCUGCUCCUGGUAUGAUCAGUGACUUAGACUGGGGACAUGCCCUCAGGCGGCAAAAGGAGGGACCUGCAAGUUAACAAUGUUUGAUCCUUUGCCAGUGGAAUAAGGUGACACUUCCCAUGCUAACAUUCAUUGAGAAAAUCUAGGGCAUGUAUUCCAAAUUCUCAAGGUAACUAUUUUGUUAUCUUAGACAACAACAUUUUGGAAAUAAUUCUGAAGUCAAAAUUAGAGAUAUCAGUUUUUUUCCCAAGUAAAGUGUCAGAUGAAUGAUGUCAUCAGCUGAAACGAGCACUGAGCGAGACACUCGGAGACCUCGGGCCAGAGAGAUGGUAGCAGAGGCCUGUGUCCUGUCUCUCUGUGCAGGCUGUGCCUGUACCUUGGGCCUUUGGAAAUAGCCCCUUCCCUGCUCCAGGACAGCUGGUCCUGGUCACCGGAUGCUGGCUGGCGUUUGUGGUUCACAUUUCUGUGGUGUUUAUGGGGCUGGGGUUUUGGUCACAUUAG
rnacentral:lncRNA from 1 species